UACGAAGGGGGCUAGCGUUGCUCGGAAUCACUGGGCGUAAAGCGCACGUAGGCGGAUUGCUAAGUCAGGGGUGAAAUCCUGGAGCUCAACUCCAGAACUGCCUUUGAUACUGGCGAUCUUGAGUCCGGGAGAGGUGAGUGGAACUGCGAGUGUAGAGGUGAAAUUCGUAGAUAUUCGCAAGAACACCAGUGGCGAAGGCGGCUCACUGGCCCGGUACUGACGCUGAGGUGCGAAAAGCGUGGGGGAGCAAACAGG
rnacentral:rRNA from 1 species